rnacentral:rRNA from 1 species
GAUGAACGCUGGCGGCGUGCUUAACACAUGCAAGUCGAACGGAAAGGCCCAAGCUUGCUUGGGUACUCGAGUGGCGAACGGGUGAGUAACACGUGGGUGAUCUGCCCUGCACUUCGGGAUAAGCCUGGGAAACUGGGUCUAAUACCGGAUAGGACCACAUUUUGGAUGGUGUGGUGGAAAGUUUUUCGGUGUGGGAUGAGCUCGCGGCCUAUCAGCUUGUUGGUGGGGUAAUGGCCUACCAAGGCGUCGACGGGUAGCCGGCCUGAGAGGGUGUACGGCCACAUUGGGACUGAGAUACGGCCCAGACUCCUACGGGAGGCAGCAGUGGGGAAUAUUGCACAAUGGGCGCAAGCCUGAUGCAGCGACGCCGCGUGGGGGAUGACGGCCUUCGGGUUGUAAACUCCUUUCGCUAGGGACGAAGCGUUAUGUGACGAUACCUGGAGAAGAAGCACCGGCUAACUACGUG